rnacentral:rRNA from 1 species
CCCUUACCGGGGUUGCGGACAGUGUCUGGUGGGUAGUUUGACUGGGGCGGUCUCCUCCCAAAGCGUAACGGAGGAGCACGAAGGUUAGCUAAUCCUGGUCGGACAUCAGGAGGUUAGUGCAAUGGCAUAAGCUAGCUUGACUGCGAGCGUGACGGCGCGAGCAGGUGCGAAAGCAGGUCAUAGUGAUCCGGUGGUUCUGAAUGGAAGGGCCAUCGCUCAACGGAUAAAAGGUACUCCGGGGAUAACAGGCUGAUACCGCC